GGUCAGUCCAGCACAGAAGGGUCACCCUCAAAGGGCUGCUUGCUCAUCUGCCUGGGGACUCAGAACAUACAUGACUCAUGUCAUUUGGGCUCAGACAAAUGCCUCCCCAGGAAGCCCCAGGAUCCUGGCACUGCUAGGGGCACACUGAGCCCCUGAUGUCCCUAACCCUUUACCAGCACCCCUGGGCCCCACAGAAGCAGCCAACAUGCCCAUCUCCAAGUGCUUGCAGAAGUCGGAGCCCCUGUGGAAGGGGUGGGACCGGAAAGCCCAAAAGAACGGCCUGAGGCACCAGGUGUACGCUGUCAGUGGUGACUGCUAUGUGGGUGAGUGGAAGGACAACAUGAAGCACGGAAAAGGAACACAGAUCUGGAAGAAGAAAGGAGCCAUCUAUGAGGGAGACUGGAAGUUUGGGAAGCGAGAUGGCUAUGGCACCCUCAGCUUUCCUGACCAAGAGAUGGGAAAGCCCAGGAAAGUAUACUCUGGCUGGUGGAAAGACGAUAAAAAAUCGGGCUAUGGGAUUCAGUUUUUCGGACCCAAGGAGUAUUACGAGGGUGAGUGGUGUGGCAACCAGCGAAGCGGAUGGGGCCGCAUGUACUACAGCAACGGCGACAUCUACGAGGGCCAGUGGUUGAACAACAAGCCGCAUGGGGAGGGCAUGUUGCGUCAGAAGAACGGGAACCGCUACGAGGGCUGCUGGCGGAGAGGCAUGAAGAAUGGGUCGGGCCGUUUUUUCCACCUGGACCACGGUCAGCUGUUUGAAGGCUUCUGGGUGGACGACGUGGCCAAGUGUGGCACAAUGAUCGACUUUGGACGCGAUGAGGCCCCUGAGCCCACCCAGUUCCCCAUUCCUAAGAUCAAAAUUCUAGACCCUGAUGGCGUGCUAGAGGAAGCCUUGGCCAUGUUCAAGAAGACAGAGGAAGAUUGAUGCCAGCUUAGAAACCUCAUCUCCAAACCUACUACCUCUACAUGGAAUCUGUGGUUUCUACCCUCCUGCUGGAGAGAACAGAUGAUGUCUCCCCCUCUAUGUAGCCGGGAAGAAUGAAUCGGUUCCUCCACUUAACAAAGCUGCUGGGUGACCCUGGACAGAUUUACAGACUCACAGCAAACACAGCUACCCUCUUACAACUGCUUCCCCAGAAUGGAGGCUGUGAUGGGAUUCAGCCCCUCCCUGCCAGAGGAACUUUGGGGAGUUCAUCUGCUGAGCCAGGAAGCCUUCUCCACCCUGGCCAGGGAAAAUAAACGUCCCCAAGAUACACUCUGGGAGACGUGGUCCGAACAUGUCCCUGGCUGGACACUGAGCAGAACUCCAUACGCCACAAAAGGCCUAAGUGCCCAAGACAAUUCUGGCUGCCAGCAGACUCAGGGCCUACUGGGGAACACUCCAGGCCUGAAGGCACCCUUAGGAGCAAUUCUCCGCCCAACCUGCAGCUUCACGAACGCCACCCCUCAGAGGCCUGUUUCUCACUCCAGCCCAGCCUGGCAUGGGAAGAGGAAACGAUGUCUGCCCCCCCCCAUCAGUUGAAAGCCCACUCAAGGGGAACAUGUCCCACCCCCUCCCCCACACCCCGUGACUCAGUGCAAGUUUCUGGAGAAGAAACUGAGGGUGGAGAGUGGUUGUCAAAACCCUAGGGUGAGGCUCUCGGAAAAUGCAGUGGGAGAAAGUGUCAGGAAAUCCCCUCUACUAGGUGAUAAAAGGACAUGCCCAAUACCUUUUGGCCUCAAGUGUGGAGUCAGAAGAAAGACAGCUCAGGGGUCGACUCCUCCUCCCCACCUCCUGACACCUGCUCCCACGGAGAUGAGACCCUUUAUGUCCUUCCUUUGCCCCUGAACAUAUGUGGGGCUGUCUUCUUACAGAUCUACUUCAAAGAUCCUGCUGUUUCUCUCCACUUGCUGCAUCAAAGUUGCCCAUCUGAAGGCACCUGAGCCCCCCAACCCUGGACAUUUGUCUAACACCCAAUCUCCCACACCAGAUGUCGCUUGUCGCCCACCUCUCCUCGGGUCCAGUACCUCGGCCCCCUUCAGCGUCCACGACACCUUUCUCCCAGAUCUUCCCCGCACCCCCAGCUCGCCCGGCCCG